rnacentral:rRNA from 1 species
CACGUAGGUGGCAAGCGUUAUCCGGAAUUACUGGGCGUAAAGGGUCCGCAGGUGGGAUGGUAAGUCCGAUGUGACAGUACCCGGCUUAACUGGGUGAGGCCAUUGGAAACUGCCAUUCUUGAGUCACGGAGAGGGAAGCGGAAUUCCGGGUGUAGUGGUGAAAUGCGUAGAUAUCUGGAGGAACACCGGUGGCGAAGGCGGCGUCCUGGACCAAUACUGACACUGAAACGCGAAAGCCAGGGGAGCAAACGGG